CUUUGGUGAAGAUGAGAUCACGAGUCUGAAAGGGAAUAUCCUUGUCCAGGUACCCUCUUUUCAUGUUGUGUUCUACAGCAUGGAUUUGGGGACCUUGGGUUACAAUUUGAGUGACUUUAGAGGCAUUUGUCUGAGAAGG
rnacentral:snoRNA from 1 species